UCGGUGACAUUAAAGUUGUUUAGGAAUUAACAAAAUCAGGAGCACAAACUACAGAAGGAAAAGAACCUGGGAGUGAAUCAAAGAUUUAACUUUAAGGGAGGGGAAACCUACGGUGGCUGACAGGGGCAAACACACUGCAACUAAAAAACCACAAGCAAAUUAAGAAAACAUCUUCAUUACACUUUAUACACGCGUAGCAUUUAGCAAAUGCGCUGCAAAUACAGAAACGAUGCAAAAUGAACUUCCGUUGUGUAAACAGGAUGCAGCGUUCUUCGGUUGCAUUUGUUCUCGGGAAUUGUGCGCUUUUCAUUUUGCAUCGUCUCUGUAUUUGCAGCGUGUUUAUGUAUUUGGUUGUGUUGUGUGUAUUUGCAGCGUGUUUG